CCUACGGGAGGCAGCAGUGAGGAAUAUUGGUCAAUGGGCGAGAGCCUGAACCAGCCAAGUCGCGUGAAGGAUGACGGCCCUACGGGUUGUAAACUUCUUUUGUCAGGGGGCAAUUUGGUCCACGCGUUGGCUUAGCGAGAGUACCUGAAGAAAAAGCAUCGGCUAACUCCGUGCCAGCAGCCGCUGUCAUACGGAGGAUGCGAGCGUUCUCCGGAUUUAUUGGGUUUAAGGGGACCGUAGGCGGAGUGUUAAGUCAGUUGUGAAAGUUGGCGGCUCAACCGUAAAAUUGCAGUUGAAACUGGCAGUCUUGAGUACAGUAGAGGUGGGCGGAAUUCGUGGUGUAGCGGUGAAAUGCUUAGAUAUCACGAAGAACUCCGAUGGCGAAGGCAGCUCACUGGACUGCAACUGACACUGAGGCUCGAAAGUGUGGGUAUCAAACAGGAUUAGAUACCCUAGUAGUC
rnacentral:rRNA from 1 species